AGUGAACGCUGGCGGUAGGCCUAACACAUGCAAGUCGAACGGCAGCACAGUAAGAGCUUGCUCUUACGGGUGGCGAGUGGCGGACGGGUGAGGAAUACAUCGGAAUCUACUUUUUCGUGGGGGAUAACGUAGGGAAACUUACGCUAAUACCUCAUACGACCUACGGGUGAAAGCAGGGGUUCUUCGGACCUUUCGCGAUUGAUUGAGCCGAUGUCGGAUUAGCUAGUUGGCGAGGUAAAGGCCCACCAAGGCGACGAACCGUAGCUGGUCUGAGAGGAUGAUCGGCCACACUGGAACUGAGACACGGUCCAGACUCCUACGGGAGGCAGCAGUGGGGAAUAUUGGACAAUGGGCGCAAGCCUGAUGCAGCCAUACCGCGUGGGUGAAGAAGGCCUUCGGGUUGUAAAGCCCUGUUGUUGGGAAAGAAAAGCAGCAGAUUAAUACCCCGCUGUUCUGACGGUACCCAAAGAGUAAGCACCGGCUAACUUCGUG
rnacentral:rRNA from 1 species